GUGAGGAAUAUUGGUCAAUGGGCGAGAGCCUGAACCAGCCAAGUCGCGUGAAGGAAGAAGGAUCUAUGGUUCGUAAACUUCUUUUGCAGGGGAAUAAAGUGCGGGACGUGUCCUGUUUUGUAUGUACCCUGAGAAUAAGGAUCGGCUAACUCCGUGCCAGCAGCCGCGGUAAUACGGAGGAUCCGAGCGUUAUCCGGAUUUAUUGGGUUUAAAGGGUGCGUAGGUGGUUUGAUAAGUCAGCGGUGAAAGUUUGCAGCUUAACUGUAAAAAUGCCGUUGAAACUGUCGGACUUGAGUGUAAAUGAGGUAGGCGGAAUGCGUGGUGUAGCGGUGAAAUGCAUAGAUAUCACGCAGAACUCCGAUUGCGAAGGCAUCUUACUAAGCUGAAACUGACACUGAUGUACGAAAGCGUGGGGAUCGAACAGGAUUAGAAACCCUGGUAGUCC
rnacentral:rRNA from 1 species